AACGCGAAGAACCUUACCAGGUCUUGACAUCCCUCUGAAUAUCCUAGAGAUAGGGUAGGCCUUCGGGACAGAGGAGACAGGUGGUGCAUGGUUGUCGUCAGCUCGUGUCGUGAGAUGUUGGGUUAAGUCCCGCAACGAGCGCAACCCUUGAUCUUAGUUGCCAGCACGUAAGGGUGGGCACUCUAAGAUGACUGCCGGUGACAAACCGGAGGAAGGUGGGGAUGACGUCAAAUCAUCAUGCCCCUUAUGACCUGGGCUACACACGUACUACAAUGGUCGGUACAACGAGAUGCGAAGCCGCGAGGUGGAGCGAAUCUUUAUAAGCCGAUCUCAGUUCGGAUUGCAGGCUGCAACUCGCCUGCAUGAAGUCGGAAUUGCUAGUAAUCGCGGAUCAGCAUGCCGCGGUGAAUACGUUCCCGGGCCUUGUACACACCGGUAUCUC
rnacentral:rRNA from 1 species